GAUUCGUUCAAACAUUUCGAGUCGUUCGAACAACUUGUUUGAACGGUUCGGUUUGUUUGAACCGUACAAUUCGUUUAAUCGAUCCGCUUGAAUCGAAAGAUUUGCUCGAUCAGUUUGAAUCGUACGAUCCAUUUGAACUGUACAAUCUGUUCGAUCCGUUAAAUCUGUUUGUUGAUUCAAAAUUUCAAGAACAACUCACAGAGUAGUAUGUUUUACAUUUUAUUUAAAUUUGGAACAUACCUAUUUGUUUAAUCGUUUAGCAAAAUGUAACUUCUAAUCAAAUUCAUAUUUUGAUUUCUAACUAUUUUUCCUCUUAAAAAUUUCAGCUAAUCUGAUUGGUCCGGCCUAUAACUGUAUCUUGCCUCCUUCGUUAAUGACUCAGCAACGUCACGGUCCACUGCCAAGCUCGUUUGAUUCGCGCAUUUAAUUUUGGUUAUUUUGAUGACAUUGAGGAGACCGCAAGCCACUAUUGUAUUAAGACGUUUCGUAAACGAGUUCUAGGGAAUCGAUAAUGGUAUUGGUCUCUCACCCAGACUCGAAGGUCGGUCUGGAGAUAAAAGUGGUGUCGUAUGCCCUCAGAUGUAAUUUCGUUCAUACCAGUAUGGAAACUCGGGAUACCAUAAUGUUAGCAUGAAAGACUCAGGGCUCCGGAAACCGAGACACAACCGAUAAAAAAAAUUACGUCGUUAAUUACAUCACCAUCUGCCGUUAAAAUAUCUUAAACUACUAAAAGAAAACAAACCGGACCAGCUGCUAGACCGUGCGAGAUUUGGAUUGAAUCGGCCAAUCGGAUAAAGACGCAAAAGAUCGACGACAGUAGCGGCACCGAUGGGGAUGAACCGAUUGGCAACGACGACGAUGAAAAUGAUGUUGAAGUCGUUUCGGUCCGUUUGUGGUAGAAUUUUACAACCCUUUGCGAAGUUGGACAGCAUGGACUCUGCCAGAUAGCUGAUCCUCCGGGCAAAAAGCCCUAAUUUUUUCGCAACUUUGGGUCGCAGAAAAAUCACCGAUCAAUCAGUGUUGAUUGUGCCCUGCCAAUAGUUUAGAGUGUAAAUAUUGGGAAUUUCUAAACUGAUUCAUAAAUAUUAAUGAUUUUUGAACAAUUCAUUGAUUUUUUUUGGUAUUUCGGGCAUCAGUUCCUUACGACGAGCUGUUUUGUUGGGUUGAACGCUCCAAGGUAUACACUGUACACUCAAGUAACAAUAUUAAGGUACUCAUCUUUGAAUCCUCGCAGGGUCAUAUUUGAUUCAUAUAGACAUGAACCAUAC